AUGAAUGGACCAUGGGUGGUCAUUGAUGAUUUUAAUGAAAUCUUAUAUUCACAUGAGAAAGAAGGAGGGGCUCCAAGACCAACCCAAAUGAUGAAAAAUUUCAGAGAUGCGUUGGUGGAUUGCCAGCUUGAUGACAUGGGAUUUAAGGGUGAAAUGUUUACAUGGAGACGGAGGAGACUGAGAGAAAGAUUGGACAGAGGUAUAUGUAAUGGAGCUUUCCAUGCUCUAUUCCCAGAUGCGACCAUCACCAAUGAUGAACACUCUAAAUCGGUCCAUCGUCCUUUGGUCUUGGAUUUGGAAGGGGAUAGUAGUGUUGUCCAUCGCCCUACUGAUGGAACCCGUCGCUUUGAGGCAAGAUGGUUGCAGGAAAAUGAUGUUGCGCAGUGGGUCACUGAUGCCUGA
rnacentral:rRNA from 1 species